GGGAGGGAGCCAGGGAGGGCUCUUUGGAGAGGGGAUCUUGAUGAUAAUGAGAUAGCAUAGACAGUUAGCAUUUUCCCUUAUCAAAUUCCCUGACCUCGUCGUUGUAGCUACAUUAGAUACUAGCAUAGUGUGUCUCGUGAGUUUCCGUUGAACCGGAUAGUUUAAAGGGCUUUCUCUAUACAACCAGCUAGUUUGCGCGCUUACGGGAUGUCAAAGCGUCUGCGCAACAGAGACUGUCAGGUCUGCGCUGACUGUAGCGCCCCGGGCCCAUGUUGGGGCUCAGUGAACAGGGGUGUGCUGGUCUGUGAUGAGUGCUGCAGCAUCCACCGGGGUCUGGGACGACACAGUUCCCAAGUCCGACACCUGACCCAUACACCAUGGCCCCCCUCCCAACUACAGAUGGUUCAGACAUUGUACAGCAAUGGGUCCAACUCCAUCUGGGAGCACUGCCUUCUGGAUCCCUCGUCUAUCUCGAGUGGAAAACGCAAGGCCAACCCCCAGGACAGAGUCCAUCCCCAUAAAACGGAGUUCAUCAAGGCCAAAUAUCAGAUGCUGGCUUAUGUCCAUCGAAUGCCCUGUCGAGAGGAUGACAGUGUCACUACGAAGGACCUCAGUAAGCAACUCCACUCCAGUGUUCGGACUGGGAACCUGGAGACGUGCCUGAGACUGUUGUCUUUGGGAGCCCAGGCCAACUUCUUCCACCCGGAAAAAGGAAACACUCCGCUGCAUGUAGCAGCUAAGGCAGGCCAGGUGUCGCAGGCAGAGUUGCUGGCUGUGUAUGGGGCGGAUCCCGAUGCCCUAGACAUGGGGGGUAAGACCCCUAUUGACUACGCAAGACAAGCAGGUCAUCAGGAGCUGGCAGACAGACUGGUAGAGAUCCAGUAUGAACUCACUGACUGCUUGGCAUUUUACCUCUGUGGGAGAAGGCCAGAUCAUAGAAACGGACAGCACUUCAUAAUUCCACAAAUGGCUGACCGCAGUCUGGAUUUGUCAGAAUUUGCAAAAGCUGCAAAGAAAAAACUCCAGUCUCUCACCAACCAUCAGUUUGAAGAGCUUGCCAUGGACGUUUAUGAUGAAGUGGACAGAAGAGAAACUGAUGCAGUGUGGCUGGUGACUCAGAACCACGGCACUCUGGUAACCGACACAACUGUGGUGCCUUUCCUCCCUGUCAACCCUGAGUACUCAUCCACCAGAAACCAGGGCCGGCAGAAGCUAGCGAGGUUCAACGCACAUGAAUUUGCAACACUCGUCAUUGACAUAUUAACUGACGCCAAACGUCGGCAACGUGGGAACUCCUGUAAAAGUCCCAGAGAGGACAUAGAGCUCAUCCUGGAGGGAAUCAACAGGAGUGAUAACCAGGAUAAUGAAGACCAGCCAGAUUAUGACAGUGUGGCGUCUGAUGAAGAUCCAGAGCGGGAACCAGCCCCUGGGAAGAAUGGGAAAGAUGGCAGGACCAAGAGCUCCGAGUCGUCGGACUUGUCUGAUGGACCCAUUACGUUGCAUGAGUUCAUGGAGGUGAAGAGCGCCCUCACGGCCUCCGAGGCCAAGAUACAGCAGCUACUCAAGGUCAACUGUCACCUGAGUGAGGAGCUCCAGUUGAUGCAGAGCAAGCUGAACUCCCUGCAGACUGAGAAGUCCUCCCUGAGAUGGCAGACACCCAGUGGCCAACAGCACCCCGGGACCUCUCCGGCCGCCCCCCUCUCCCCGGGGGCCGCCCCAUGUCCAUGUAUGAAACGGGCUCGGCCAUGAGGCAGUAUCCCCACAGGGGCGUGCCUCCUCGCCGUGACGACAGCCUCACCGUCCAGCCCCUCCCUACAAACAUUGGGAGGGGUCCUUUGGGGAACGCCUCGUCCUCCCUCCCUACCUUCCCCUCCUCCCUGUCCUGGUCGCGGGACGAGCGAGCUCGAAGGGGUUGUAGCCUGGAGGGACAGAGCCGCAUGCUGGAGAGUGACUAUGACAACACACCAAACCACACAGGACUGGAGGAGUCCGGUAUGGGCAGGAACAGCAGUUGGCUCGGGGAUAGCAGUACAGCAGAGCAGGGGGAGGAUGAGACUGAGGCUGACUCCACCCUGCCCUGCACAGAGGACGUCAUUUGUAAGACGGAGCAGAUCACCAAGAAUAUUCAGGAGCUGCUGAGGGCCGCGCAGGAGAACAAACAUGAGAGCUUUGUACCGUGCUCAGAAAGGAUCCAUGUGGCUGUGAGAGAGAUGGCCAUCCUGUUUCCAAAGAGGCCAUGCUCAGACACAGUGCGAGGGUCUCUGCGGCUGCUCACCUCUAGUGCCAGCCGGCUCCAUGGGGAGUGCCAGAAGGCCUCGCCCCACAACCCUUGCCCCUCCGACAUGCAGCUGGUCACGCAGCAGGUCAUCCAGUGUGCCUAUGACAUUGCCAAGGCUGCCAAGCAACUCGUCACUGUGACAACCAAAGAGAACAGCAACUGAUGUUUUUUUUAACCCAAGGACUAACAUCCCUUUUUAGAUAUUGGAGAGAUAUAUAUAUUAUCAGUACUAAUUUCAAGUUGGUGUUUAUCAGUGUUACCAUUGUUAUUUGUAUGCCACCAUUUUUAUUUAAAGUACUCAAUUCGUCUUAGUAAAUUUUCUAGUGAAGAAUGUUUACAGAAAGUGUACCUUGCGAAAUGUGGGUCACCCAAGGGAUUUGUCCAUCGGUUUGUCUGUUAGGCAGGUCAUCAUACUCUACCAGUAUGAGUAUAUCUAUCUGGGAUUACCUCAAAAAGAGACAUUCGUUACUAUUUUGCAACAUUACACAUUUUAAACAGCCUUGGAUCAAUUUCAGGUGGUUGAACAUUUGUGGUUGCUGGGAGUGCUUGUUCUUGGUGCUCUCUGCUAUGCAACGAGGACAGUUGGCUGUCCAAAGCUUUCAAACAGUUCGCUUUUAACUUCUUAUUCAAGGCCAAACACAUUGGGAUCUUAAACCUAGUCAAAUCCAUAAUUAUUGGCACCCUUGAUGAUGAUGAACAAAAAAAAUACUAAAAUAAAUACACCUGACCAUAGCACUGCCUGGUGUUUGAUAAACGGCAUUGGCACAUUGGAUUGGUGGAUCUUUGAUGUUAUGGGACUAUUUUGCUUCCACUGGUCCUGGGUGCCCGUGUUAAGGUCAACAGCAGCAUGAACUUUACCCAGUACCAGGACAUUUGAACCAAAAACCUGGUUGCCAAUGCCAGGAGGCUGACACUUGGCUGCAAGUGGAUCUCCCAGCAAGACAAUAACCCUAAGCACUAAUGAAAAUCCACAAAGAAAUUGUUAAGUGACCACAAAAUCAACAUUUUCCAAUGGCCAUCUCAUUCUCCAGACUUGAACACCCAGUGGUUUAAAUUGAAGAGGGCACUCCAUAAGAGCACGAGGAAUGCUCUAAGAUCCCUCCCAACGUGUUCUCCAAUCUCAUAAUACAUUUUAGCAAAAGGCUAUCCUCACAAGGGGAGGGUGAUAAACUAUUGAAAACAGGGGUGCCAAUAAUUUUGACUUGUUUUAUUUUUGAGCCAACAAUAUAGCUCAGUAUUUGUAUUUUUUGAUACAGUAUUUUUUGCUGAUCUUUAUCAAGGGUGCCAACCAUUAUGGGCCUGAUUGUAGCUUCGUGGAAUAGUGAGCCAUGAUGUGUCCAUUACAACGUUUUCCUCAAGGUAUUUUCCAUUAAUGCCAUUUUUAUGUUUCAUGCCAAAGCCAUAAAGGUGAGGACAACGCCCAAGUCCGUUUUCCAUUGUUCAGUUUCUUUUCGUAGUUGUUUGAGCUCAAAAGGUAUAGCAAAAAAAGGAUCCAAUGUAGCCAUACCUCACACACAUGCCCAAUAUCAAUUUUGUUUUAGUGUAGUGUGUUUAUGACGUUUAUCCCAAAGGGAUACUCAAAACAGCCGACCCAAAUUCUAUAAUUUGUUUUAUAAAAAAUAUAAGAAUAGAUGGUUUGUACAUUUUUAUACUUAAUUCAUACAACCCAUCUCUAUAUUCUAUGUAUGAAUACAAUCUCACACUUGACAAAUUGUCAACAUUUUAUUUUCUUAAACUUAUUAACACGUAAAGUUCCCUCGUAUUCUAUGCUGUUUUAAGGCAUGCAAGUUUUCAUAUUGGUGAUGUCUUCUAUACAGCAUUUGGAUUUCAAUAUAUCCACAGGCAAUCAGAUGUGCUUGUGAUCUCUCUCACUCUGUGUGUGUGUGUGUGUGUGUGUGUGUGUCCCAUUAAUUUACAUUGUCUUUCUUGUGCUGCAAGUGGUAAAACAUGUUAAUCUAAUAGGGUUUUAAGAUGUGUUAAAAGCAUUUGUCCUUUUUAUAUGUAUUAUGGGCCAUACAGUCAUGUGGGGGUCAUGUGUUGUCCAGGGGUGUGGGGGAGUGAGGAUCAUUUGUGUGCCAUUGCGUGUUAUGAGCCAGACAACAGUCAUACAGUUACUUACAUUGUGAUUGAAAUAAAGAACUGCCUUUUAAAGUAAUAAACUUGAAUUUAUAACUCGA